CCUUGGUGCAGGCAGGGGGCGCAUCCCCGAAGUACUUGGCAAUGGCAGCAUGGCGGCACCUGGCGGAGGCAGCACAGCAGAGGUCGGAGUGAGGGACCCAGGCAGGCCAGCGCUCAUCCCUCACUCCCUACACUCUGGCUGAUGAGCCCUACGUGUGGGUUCCACACUCAGUAUCUCACACACCUCAUGCUGUCCGAGCCUGGAAAGGCAUCAUUUGGUCACCCAUUUUACAGAUGACAAGAAUGAGAUGAAGGAGCUUUCUCAAGGUCACAGAACAUACCCAGUGGAGCCAGGGUGUGGUCUCUAUUCUGUCCUGCUUUGCUACAGGUUGCUCCUCUAGGUCCUGGCCUCCUGGCCUCCUGCCCUCUACCGUGCCCUCUGGCGGCGGGGUGCCCCAGAAGCAGCUUCAGCCCUGGGUACAGACGCUGACUCUGCUGCUGAGGCCUCCUCUUUAGGGGAAGCACUGGAUGGCUCAAAGCCCACACAUUCUGGCCUGUCGAACGGUGCAGGAAGAGCACUGGCUCCCCUGGCCGAGCAGGACUGGGGGAGAUGGUGCCCCGAGGCACCAUGUACGGCACCUGGCGCACGGUGAGCCCUCUUUAUGACUCUUUCCCGGAGGCGGGGGACGGAGGUGGCCCUACCCCCGCCUCGGCACUCUGCCCUGCUUCUAUCUCUUGUGGACCUUCUUUGUCCCCAAGAAGACUGCCCGCAUAUGUAGCCCAGAGCUGGGGGACUGCCUGAGAGCAGAAACCAGCAGCUCUGCGAGCUGGCACUGUACACUGCUCACUGGUGAGGGCAGUGGGGAGACCAGCCCGGGAAGGAGUCUCAUCCCAUCUUCCGGGGCCUCAACCCUGCCACAGCCCCCUUGCUGCGGUCCAUACCAGACUGCAGCUGUCUCUCUUACGACUCCCAGGAUGGGGGCACAGUUGGUCCCUGGGGCAGCUGCAGAGGCCCCUGGAGGAGCCACAAAUCUCCCAGGACCCUUGCCAAGGGCCAGUCCUGCCACGGGAAUGUGGCACAGGGUAGGGGAGCCUGAGAGACAGGGCGGCAGAGGCAGGGCUGUCCAGGCGCCACAUCCUGGGGACGAGAAUAGGGGGUGUCACUCUCUAAGCAGAAUGCCGCUCAACGUGAGCACCGCCUAGAACUUCAAGAAACACUUUGACGAGCUGAGGCCCUGAGGGGCAGGAACCAAAGCAAGAGCGGAUGGUUCCACAGGCCCUAGGAAGUGGGUCUGGCUGCCUUGUUUGAGAAUGCAGCUUCCAGUGGCAGGGGACGGCACAGGGGCCCGGGCGACCACCAGAGGGCACUGUUCUGGCCGCUCCUAAAUCACCGAGGGACUCCCUCCAUGGCCAGUCUGUGCAUCUGCACAGUGGCCGCCUGUCCAGCCUCUGGCAUCCAAGUGGUGUGGCUACACGGUCGGCUUCCUUCCCCCCCCCCUCCCUCAAGCCCAGACUCACUGGGGUUUUGUGCUCACACUCAAAGGGCCCCAUUGAGAGCGCACAGAUGCGGGCUGGGGUCGGCUCCUGUCCCGCUCCAGGCACAGCCCGGGCUGCUGGGGUGGCACAACCAACCAAAUGUCAAAGGGCCCUGCCAGCCACUGAGCUCCGGAGCCCGGCUCUGCUGGCCGGGGCCAGGCAUGCAGAGACAGCCCCGGCCAACACCAGCAAACACGCUUCGGAAAGACAUCAGCAGGGUCCUCCCUCCUCCCGGGGCUGGGGAACACCAGGCACCAGGCACCUCCCCCUGCACCCCCAGGCAAGCAGGCUACUCUCAAGUCACCCCCAAGUUCUCUCCCAAGAUGCCUCCCCAGAGGGCUGGAUUUGUGGGUGGGCCGGCGGCUCCCCCACUCUUCACUUUCUUUCUUGGAAGGGGCCAAAGGGUGGGACCAGCUGGGGAGUCGCCAGAGGGGGGGUUGGGGGGAUGGAGCCAAAGUACUCCUGAGGGGAGGGAGGGGGCCCAAGAGCUGGGAGCGCUGUGGGGUCUCCCCCCCAACUCAGCCGCUCAGGUGAAGCCUCCCAGAGGGCAUCUCUGCCAGGGAACAAGAGAGCCGACCUCCUCUUUUAUCACCUCCCAGCCCAGGCCCAGCCCACGUUGGCUCAGCACACACCCGCCAGGAGGGAGAGAGAGGAAGAGGAGGAACAGAAGAGGCGGCUCUAACCCAGCCAGACCUCCCAGGGGCAGGGCAGCGCCAGCCAUCCCCCCAAGGGCCCAGCAGGGAUUCCCCCGCCUGGGCAGGGGCAGAGGUGGCACUGCCUCCCUCACUUUGGUGGCCGCCCCGUGUAAUUUGACACUUGGAUCUCCAGGACGACCAACAACAGAAAAGCUGAAGCCGAGACAGCAGCUGGCUGUCACCAGCCAGGAGUUCCACACGCUCUGAGGAAGGCGCCCAGCAGCGGGUCAGGAAAGAGGCAUUUGAGAAGGAAGGAAGAGGUGGUGGCUGGGCUGAGGACAGGCCCAGGAGGCUGCUGGGCUCCCCGGGAUCUGAGUUCCUAGGUGAGUGGUGCCAGCCAUGGAUGAGAGGAGUGGGGGUGCGGGGCCAGGGUCUCCUGCCCCGAGGGUGGAGAGCCACCGUCUACCGUGAACAGAGAGGCUCACGGGGGUACUACAUGGUCAUGGUCUCUGGACAGCCUGUUUAAACGUGGGCUCUCCCUUCUACUGCUGGCAGCCCGGCACGGCAGGGACACGGGCCGAGGCUGCAGCUCUCUGCUCCAAGGGCUUUCCUCCCUGCUUGCUAAGCAGGCAGAGGGGCCCCGAGUGCUUGCUUACUCGGCAAGUUAGUUUAAGCCUGUUCUAUUCAGGGGGCUUAAACAGGGGAUUUGGCUGUCCUGGCUCUGGAGAGGACGGCUGCCUGCUCACGGAGCCUCCCUUUUCCCCAGGAUCAAUGCAGAGCCCUGGGUGUGCCUGCUUUCUCCCCGUGGAGGUGGCUCGGGGCAGAGUCUGCCCCUCCAGUUCGUGCCCCCCAGGAUGUGGUGGGACCCGCAGCAGCUCUGCCCAUCUGUGUCCUGCAUCAGCGUGGCAGCCGCCACCUCUUGUGAGGGGCUUGGCCCGCUCACUGCCAGGUGUUCUCAGCUCAGAGUUAAAGCCGGGUACUCCUCCCUGGGCCCAACUGGAAUCCCGUGAGCUCCCAAACCUUUGUGAAUGCUGCACCGGAAGCACGAGGGCCUGACUCUAAACCCAGGGUGGGUGGGACGAGGGCAAUGGUGUUGAGGCCGGUGGAGGACCCGCCUGGCAUUCGGCCCUCUGCCGUGUCACUGGAACGCUGAGCCCAAAAUGGCUCUUCGAGCAGCACCAGGAGCAGCCCCCUUGGGCAGGGCCCCAUGAACCGAGGCUGCUCGUUCUUCCGGCCUCCCUGUCCCCACGCUAGGGUUAUAGUCUCUCUUCCCCGCCCCCCAGAUGUUUCCCCCAAAGCAAACAGGCUAGUAUCUACUUAGAAAGAAAAACAACAAUCCAGGGAAAAGUGGAAAUCAAGGAUCAGUCCAAGUGUUCUUGGCUCUUCAGGGGCUGUGGGACUUGGCCUGGGUUGGCGGCUGAGGAGACUGAAAGCCCUGCGCCGAUGGGCCAGGCAUGGCAGAGAGGGGCCAAGCGCCAGUUCUGUGCUGGAGGCAGUGGGCAGGGCUGGGAAAGGGGAGGGCGCAGUGGUGCGCCUGGGGCUACCCCUGCUGGCUGGGGUGUGUAAGGCAGGUGGGUGGGGAGCAGAGUCCCUGCAGCCGCAGGACAUGGGUGGUCGGGGUCCCCUGCACACAGGCGCUGAGCUGAAAUAGGAGGGUGAUGCCUAGCUCCUUGGUCUGGGGGUACCACCACCAGCAGCAGGAAGGCCUCCUCUAGUCCUCGAAAACCCACGAGGUUAGGGAAGCAGGACUACUCUGGGUUCAAAUGUCUACUCCCCACAGCAACUUGGAGCCAAGGCAGAAAAGGGCAUCGUCUGAAGGCUUGACGCAGUGACCAGUGGACACCUCCGCCUUCGUGGUCAGGCCUCUGGACCCUGCAAAUCUGCCACAACCAUGGGUUUGCCUCAUCAGGGCUGUUUCCCAACAAAACAGGGCCCGGUGGGGCAAGAGUGGCUAUAAGCCACCACGACAAAAUGACAGGGGCCCAGAGCUGUCAGUACGCCACUUAUCAGUCACGCCCAGGCCGGUCUGCUGCCUGCUCUCCUUCACAACGGGCCUCUGGGGUUGGAGUAUCGGUUUUGCCAGGAGGAAGCAGGGAAGCUUCAGUACCCAGUGGCAGCUGUCAAGCCUGCAGGAUGCCUGCCUGCUCUGUCACAGGUCCUCUGUGCCAGAAGAUGCCACACAAAGGAACGUUUUCUGGUCCCUCCAGCUCUGCCCGCUGUCAGCUCUGCCCGCCUCACUUCUCCCUCCGUGCGCGCCCACUGCGGCCGUGGCGCACCCUCGAAGGGCCAUGCAGGCAGCCAAGGCUGCUCUCCCUUCCUGGGGCCGUGGGAACCACUUGCUGUGGCCGCCUCCAUCCAAGGCACUUCGGAGCACAGGGCUGGGAUGUACUCUGAUUUCCCUGGUUCGCUGGCAGGAAGCAGUUUGGGAAGGAGAAUGGAUGACCCUCCUAUCUUCUUGAGACAGACCAGAAAGAUACACGCGAUCAUCGGUACCUGCUCUGGGCUUCCCUGUCUUCCUCCCUCCAAACCUGUGAAAGUAAAAGGGACAAGCAGCAGCCAGCCUCAGAGCACCUCCAUUCCCCAGGUCACAGCUGGGAACACUUACAGACCGGGGCGCCCUACAGAGCAACGGCCGGGGAACAGACGGCAUGGUCACUUGACGACGGCUGGUUAUAUCAGGCACCAGGCAUCAGGCAGGCCCCAGCCUCGCUUUAAAUAGCCCACUGGGAAGAGUGCCUGUGACCUGCUGGAAUGUGCCUCCUCCCUCUUAUGAGAACAAGGUCCCUCCAGCUCCCACGGUCCCCAGUAAGGUUUAUUCUGCUCAAGACCAGGGUGGAAAUGGCAGCACGUCCACUGGAAAAACAAAGGGGGUUCCCUGUCAGUCUUUGGGGCAGAACCUCAGGUGUCCAGUGGCCCCGUUCCCAAUCACAGCCCAGAAAGAAUCAGGGCGCAGCCCGGGGCGAGACCCUAGGGGCUGGUACGGCUUGUUAAAUCAGCUCACCAGAGGCCCUGGGCACAAAGACACAAUGCCAUCCCCAGCCCCAGCCACGGCCUCCCCCGGGUGUGGACCGGCAUUCCUCCCGGAGCAGCGCAGGUCCCCUGGGUCAGACGCUGCAGCAUCCUGACGUCACAACGCUCGGAAGACGUCCAACUUCAGAGCUGAAGCUUCUGACCAGCGAAGCCCACCUUUCUGCACAGCAGAGGCGCCUUGGCCCAACCUGGGUCCUCGCUGCUCUGGAGAUCACACCCCAGACCGGCGGGGUUCCACGUUCCGUCUUGCUCACAAGCGGAGGCUUCCCCCUCCACAACCCCUCCCCGGGUCUUUGGACCUGGAAACCCGAGUGAAAGCGCCGCCCUGGCCCAGCUGGCCUCCACCUGCUUCCUCUUUCAAGGAGUCUCUGAUGGCUACAUUAGGCAAUGCAGGCGCGAGGCCAAUCAGGCUGAAGGAGCCAGACCACACGGAGACGAAGAGGGGAGGAGAAAUGGUGCCCAAGUCCUGAGCCCUGUGCGAAGUCUCCUCCGGGGCUUUGCCCCGCACCUCCGUUCCCUCCUCUAGGAAUGAGACCAGCCGGCAGGCUGCUGCACUCCUGGGAACACGGGAACUGGGGAUAUCCAGAGAGGCUCCAGAAUGAGACCACCACCCUCCUGAUGCAAACCCACUUCCCUGAAACAUGCUGACCCCGGGGUGGGGCAUAAGAGAAGACAGAAGGAUCUAACUCCAGAAGCCGCCCACUUCUGAUAGGAAACCCGCUAAUCCCCCAGUGACCCACCGGCUGCCCGCUACCCUCGAGGGGACUUACACCACAGCUCCUGGCUCCAGCCUGCCCCACCGCCUGCCUUCACCUCACACACCAGACAUCCUAGGAAUGCGGGACACAGAGGAAGGUCCCCAGACAGAUGCCCUACCUGCCAGGAUACAAGGGGGUACGACUGCCCCCAAAGGCUUCCUCGAUGCUCCGAUGGUGGCCAAACCCCCUACCUGAGGGGAAUCACAUGUGUGGGGCCCCCAUGUGUGCCAGGACCUGCACUGGCCGCCGCUGUGCUCCCAGGAAUCAAUCCAACAGCCUUGAAAGAUGGACAUCUCCUCUCACGUAAAAUGAGGAAAAGAAACAGACUCAGAGAGACAGAGACGUGUCCAUGUCACAGAAGCAGGAAGGAGUCAGCUGGCAUCAGAACAACGUUCCCUGUGGGGCAGCUGACCAAAUGAGGACAGUUACCCUGCGGAAGAGGGGACGUGGGAUACACCUGCCAGCUGCCAUCCAGGACCCGAAGGCCCACGAGGCAGAAGAGGGGUACAAGUGUCCUAUGUGAACACAGGCGGGACCAGCAAGGUCAGGAGGAGGUCCCGCCUUCCAAAGAUCAGCACUGUUCCAAGAGGGAAGAGGGCACGCUGUCAUAGCAAGUGGGACCCCCCCGCCGCCCCAUCUCACCGAGAGGGGCUCGGGCUCAGGCGAAGGCUGUAGGCCAGAAGGAGUGCACGGGGCCAGGAACGGGGUAGAGACUUCAAGCAGAAGACCUUCAAGGCAGUUCUAAGACGGCUCUACUGUGACGGAAGUCCCAGCAGUGACCAGCUUCCAAGACUGCAGCCAUCUGAGGAGAACCACCUGGCCAUAGCCCAGGACGAAGUGACAGUAAUUAGAUCUACAGGUCUGGCAUGAGCCCCUGACACCUGUUACCCUCUCUGGGAUCAGAGCCGCCUUAGGUGAACAAGUUCAGGCUGGUUGGCACAGGCUGUCCCUGGUCCAUAUCUGAAGAGCUACUGGGUCCCUCAUGUCCACUGAAGGGGAAAGACACUGAGGUAGAGUGUGCUCCCACUCAGGCUCAGCCUGGACCUUGCCCUGCACCCUGCCGGCACCCUUAUGAAAAGGCUCUCAGGGGGCCAGAGGGCUGAGUUGCCACAUACCUGGGGCAGGGGGUGGGGCAGAGGGGACUCUCCUGGUUUGAGCCAGCAGGGGAGGGGCUGGUAAACCAGCACUGGGACGCCUGAUCGCAUCCUGAGAGGACCCCCUUGGGUAAACCUGCAAGGACACAAUGUCAUCUCUUCCUCCUCAAAGAACACCUAUAAGUAAAGAAAUGGGGCUGGUGGGAGAGGCAGGGGGCCCCAAAGGGGCUCAGACCAUCUCCCCGUUAGCGCUGACCCUAGCUAAAAGCCCCCAUGUGCCUGCUCCAGGAACCUGCUCCUUCUGCCCCACAUAUGACAGGACCAAGAGCUCCAGGCUGGAAUCCCAAAGCCCAGUCUCCCCACUGAGAACCCAGGCAAGGCACCUGAAGUCCUGAAGGACCCAGGGGUCAUCAGGGGAGCUACGCCAGCCCAAGGCCCCCCCAGCAAAACCAGGAGUGGUGCCUGAGACAAAAGAAUGUAACCGUGAAGUCACCCCACCUCCAAGUCAGGAACCCUGGCCAACCGUGGCGAGCGGACAGACUGCCCCUGUGUCUGGCUGAGCCCGGCAGCCCCCACGGCAGGGCCUCAGGCUGCCUGCCGUCACCAGCUUCUCCCACCACAGGUGGUAUCAGCUGGGUGGGGGCUGAGGGCCAUUGCUGGGUCUGGGCGGAGGGCCCCAAAGGCUCCCUCCCUGCUCAGGAGCCGCAGGGGUGCAGGGGUGAGACCUGACUAACUCGUUCUGCGGGCUGCAGGUGGGUGGGGACCCCGUCACUGCUCAGCACGCCCGACAGGCGCCCAGCAGGAGCCAGCAGGAGCCCGCAGGA